CAGAGGGAAGUGUUCCUCUUGGUGGGCACAAUGAAGCUGUCCCUUCUUUUUCUCUGCUUCUUAGCACAUCUCUUGCCCAUCCUAACAAGUCUUCAGCUGGAGGAAUCUGGCGGAGGAAUAGUGCAGCCAGGGGAAACCCUGAGGCUGACCUGCAACUUGACAGGAGGGACUUUGGGGUAUGACUACUGGCACUGGUUCCGCCAGGCACCUGGGAAAGGACUGGAAUGGGUGGGCUGCAUCUACUGGACUGUCUUUAUGUGGAGCAAACGCUAUGCCCCGUCUCUCAAGAGCCGAGCCAGCCUGACUACCGAUUCCUCCACAAACCAGUAUUAUCUCGAGCUGACGUCGCUGGCAGCUGCAGACACAGGCACAUAUUACUGUGCAAAGGACACCGUGAGACAAAGCAACAGGGGAGCUUUACAAAAAGGGGAAGGCACUUGCUCCGGGUUCCUUACCCAUUGCAGGAAACAGCACACAGCUUAUUCCUGUAGCUUUGGGCCUUAA